rnacentral:rRNA from 1 species
AUUGAACGCUGGCGGCAGGCCUAACACAUGCAAGUCGAACGAGUGGCGGACGGGUGAGUAAUGUCUGGGAAACUGCCUGAUGGAGGGGGAUAACUACUGGAAACGGUAGCUAAUACCGCAUACCAUCGGAUGUGCCCAGAUGGGAUUAGCUAGUAGGUGGGGUAAAGGCUCACCUGGGCGACGAUCCCUAGCUGGUCUGAGAGGAUGACCAGCCACACGGGAACCGAGACACGGUCCAGAUGCCUACGGAAGGCAGCAGUGGGGAUGAUUGGAAAAUGGGCGCAAGCCUGAUGCAGCAAUGCCGCGUGUAGGAAGAAGGCCUUCGGGUUGUAAAGUACUUUCAGCGGGGAGGCGUUACCCGAAGAAGAAGCACCGGCUAACUCCGUGCCAGCAGCCGCGGUAAUAC